GACGAACGCUGGCGGCGUGCUUAACACAUGCAAGUCGAGCGGAAAGGCCCUGCUUUUGUGGGGUGCUCGAGUGGCGAACGGGUGAGUAACACGUGAGUAACCUGCCCUUGACUUUGGGAUAACUUCAGGAAACUGGGGCUAAUACCGGAUAGGAGCUCCUGCUGCAUGGUGGGGGUUGGAAAGUUUCGGCGGUUGGGGAUGGACUCGCGGCUUAUCAGCUUGUUGGUGGGGUAGUGGCUUACCAAGGCUUUGACGGGUAGCCGGCCUGAGAGGGUGACCGGCCACAUUGGGACUGAGAUACGGCCUAGACUCCUACGGGAGGCAGCAGUGGGGAAUAUUGCACAAUGGGCGGAAGCCUGAUGCAGCAACGCCGCGUGCGGGAUGACGGCCUUCGGGUUGUAAACCGCUUUCGCCUGUGACGAAGCGUGAGUGACGGUAAUGGGUAAAGAAGCACCGGCUAACUACGUG
rnacentral:rRNA from 1 species